ACGUUUUUUUAUAACGCUUGAAUUAACAGCCUGGGCAGAAGAAAUACAGCGACCCCGUGAACAAAAAUGCGAGUCUCUGGAGCUGUCUGCUUAUUCAUCCUGUGACCUGGAACUCAUAACCACUGUACAUCAAGAACAAAACACACACACACAGUACACGCAAUCACACACACAAGCUCUCAUCAUUCUCAACUCGAAGCUCGAUUCUCAGUUUCAGAAACAUCACGCACUGGACAUUUGUAACAUGAUAUUGGGUUUGCUGGUCAGAUUUGGGUGGGGAAAUGAAAAUGAAGUUGUUGCAUCAAGCUUGGAUGCAUGGAUGGUAUUAGAGAGAUGAUGGAUAUUAUGUACUGACUACUGAGACAGUCUGGAUUUUAUCUGAUCCUUGACACAGCUGAGUUGAAGUGUCCGGAUAGGUAUCAUGUUAAGAGAAUUCGGCAGAGUUGCUUCUGCAUUGGACGAAAUCAGGUACUACUGGUACUUAAAGAUUGCUGCCAAAGCGUGCUCUACUGAACUGGUUUUCUGGAUGUGAAUCGGAAUAAUUGAACCAAAACCCUGUUUUUUUUGUUUCUGUAAUGUUUAAGCUAUAAUUAACAAUUUUAGUUGAUUAGUUGAGUUGAAUUGCUUUUUGAGUGAGUUAUGACUUAUGAGCAGCUGCAAGGCUUAUAUAUACAACUGAAUAAUGGUGUGUGUAUAUGGUUUGGUGUAAAGUAGGAAGAUAUAGAUACAAUAAUAGAAACAGAGAGGGAAUAACAUUGUAAGAUUUUAUACUUUUCCUUCAGCUCUAGUAAAGUUAUAUACCAAAUCCUUUCUUAACAACUACCAAAGAAACACAGGUUCAUAAAAGCUCCUAAUUUUAAGAUUUUGCGUAUAAGUUUUUAGAAAAUUUGCUCGCUGUCGCAAUUGGAGAAAUUAGGCGUCCCUAGAACAAAAAAAAUAUAGAAAUUUAUGCUAUAUAAUUUGUUUUGCAUAAGAUAAUAAGAUGUAUGGAGAUUUAGCUCUAUUUUCAUCCGAGCAAGAAAUAUUUUCUUUUGUCUUGUUUCACUUUUUUGUGGUUAAAUUGACCGAAUUUUGACUAUCAUUAUUUUUUUAUCUUUUUAUAAUUUAUAAGAUUUGAAAAAUACAUAUUAAAAAGGAUAAAAUAUACUUUCUGGUGGUACAAAUUUUAUUACAUUUCUAUUUAUAUUUUAUGUGUAAUAUUUGAUCAAAAUUUAGUUAAUUUAACCACAAAAAAGUCAAAUAAAACAAAAAAAUUGGGACAAAGUGAUUAGUAUUUAUAUUGAGAUCCCGACUUGUUUACAUUUGCAGGAUCUGUUAUUUUUAUGCAUUUUUGUUGUAAUUUAGCCAUACAAUGAAGUGUCAAGUUUAAGAUUAUCCCUAAGCUAUGAGCCAAGGUGGUCCUUUAUAUCGAAUUUUAAUGACAAAGGUAGAUUCUUUGUCGUGGGGGGCAGAGGAAUUAUAUCAGGUGAUUAAGAAAAAAGUUGAAUACACUCUGCCCUUCUAAUGUUUAUUUAUCUCUUUCUCUGACACAAAUCACCUCUACUUCCCAAUGCCUAAACCUGCAUUAGGCCCUCAACGCACCAGUCUGAUAAUCUGGUUUGCCGCAAUAUUCUGUGCUGUUGUUGCUGUUGCAGUAGUUGCCAUCGGCAUCUUUGUCAUUGUCAGUUACCUAGUGAUCCACCCGACAACGCCAACAAUCAGCGUCUCAUACGCGAAUCUAGACAGGUUUGCUUAUAACCAGAUUGGAAUUCUUGAUGUGCAGGUGAGUAUCGUGAUCAAGGCGAAGAAUGAGAAUGUCAAGAACCAUGCUGUUUUUUACGGGCUAGUCCUGACACUCAAUUUCCACGGGUUACCUGUAGCAAAGCUUGUGAACAAUCCAUUUGAUGUGAAGAAAAACAGUUCCCGGGAGUUUGUCUAUGUAGUGCAGUCAAAUCAGAUUCCGCUGAGGAGUGUGUAUAGCGAUUAUGUGCAGUCAGCAUUGACGAAACACAAGGUGUCGUUUGAGUUGAAGGGGAAAGUUAAGACCAGGUGGAGAGUGUGGGUCGUUGGGCUCGUCAAGUUUUCGGUUAACAUGGAUUGUGAUCUUCAAUUCUUCGUGCCUAACGGAAGUUUCACAUAUCGAUCACCUUGUAGCUCCAAGUCUUCAUGAGAGACAAUCAAGUUAUCUGUGUACAGAAGAGGCAGAGGUACAUAAAGAAUGUUGAGAAGCAGUCCAAAUGUAGGUCAGGACAUUGUGUUGGCUCUGUUAGCUCAAGCAGUUCCUGUUUUGUUCACAUUUAUAUAUAUUGUUGUGCAAAUAUGGCAUUUAGAUUUUGAAAGCUUA